rnacentral:tRNA from 1 species
UUCAUUGUAGUAUAGUGGUGAGUAUUCCUGCCUAUCAUGCGGGUGACUCGGGUUCGAUCCCUUGCAAUAGAU